UUCAGACAAAAGGAACUGACAUAGCUGGAGCUACUCCGACCCUUUAUUCCUGACCUGGAAAUCACUGUGUUGUCUUUAGCUGCAGUAGACAUCUUGUAAGCAUGAGGCAACAAAGCAACGUGCUAAAGAUAGCACUAGGAAAGUAACGGGCCUCGGAGUCACCCUUGAAGCUAGGUGUGCUCAUGUGACUAAGUUCUGUCCAAUGAGCUGGAACCGGGAGUGCUGUGUGGGGCUACCGGGAAGUACACUUACAGAAAAUGCCUCAGUGAGGAGCAGCAGAACUCUGGGUACUUCAUGUCUCCUCCUUUGUCCUGUGACUUGAAGACAACAGCUAGAGAUCCAGGAGCCCAUCUUGAGCAAUGAGAUGACCUGAGAAUGGAAACCAGAUGUCAGAAGAGGAGAGCAGAGAGACAGUGAGAAUCUGGUUGUCUGGUUGGUUUGGAGUCUGCAACAGCCUAGACUGCUUUCUUUCCCGUCUCUGUACCCAAGGUCCAACUCCAUCCCUAACAGCUAUACCAAAGGUGGUGAAGAGUAAACUGGUGGAGGAGACUUUGAUGAUAUGUCAGAGAAUUGUAAAUGUGCUUGGAUUUUGGCCCAAAGAAUUUUACUUUUGGAAAGCUAUUUAAAACAAAUAAUUAGGCAAAUAUACCAAUAUACAGAUAUAAUAAAGACACUCAUUGGAGCAUUAUUUUCAUAACAAAAAUUUUGUUAAGAAAAAAAGGAAUGUGGAUGUUUUCUUUAGUCUUGUAUCAUGAUGUUUAGUGCAAACCCUGAUAUUUAAAAGUUUCUUGUUUAUUUAUUAUUAUUAUUUUUGUAGAGACAGAGUCUUGCUCUGUCAUCUAGGCUAGAGUGCAGUGGCAUUAUCAUAACUCACUGCAGCCUCUAAUUUAUGGGCUCAAGCAAUCCUCCCAUCUCAGCCUCCAGAGUAGCUAGGACUAUAGGUGCCUGCCAUCAUGCCCAGCUAUUUUUUUUUUUUUUUAAUUUUUGUAGAGAUGGGAUCUCACUAUGUUUCCCAGGGUGGUCUUGAACUCCUGGCCUCAAGUAAUCCUCCUGCCUCAGCUUCCCAAAGUGCUGGGAUUACAGGCAUAGGCCACCAUGCUGGGCCUAAAACUUUCUUAAGGUUUGCUGAGUAAGUGAAUGAUUAAAAGAUUGCUUAAAUAAACCAUGACAUAUCCACAUAAUAGAAUGAUAUGUAAUGGUUAUAAACUUUAAAUACUGACACUUAAAGAUGUCCACAAUGUUUUUCAUUAAAAAAGGUUGUAGUCUAGAAUGUGUGCAUCUUUAUAUAACACACAUUUCUACAGCACUUUAAUUUCAUAAAAACAAGCACAUACUUCUAUUACCAGAAAAAAAGAUACUCCCAUUUUAUAAAAAAGUAAAUAUAUUUCAAAUUUUGUGCCAUCAGUGAAUUUUCCUUAACAUUCAAAAAUUCUAAUCACAUAAAAGUCUAUAAAUAAAAUCUCAACAAUCAAAAAGAAAAUUUAUGAAAUAUUCAUUUUGGCUACUAUGCAACAAAAUAUAAAACAAAAGAAUUACUUGGAAUUCUAUUUUUUUUUAAAUCUCAUAAAUAAUGUGGGUCUGAGAAACAAUUAAAACAAUAUAGGCUGGGCAUGGUUGCUCACAUCUGUAAUCCCAGCACUUUGGGAGGCCGAGGCAGGCAGAUCACUUGAGGUCAGGAGUUGGAGACCAGCCUGGCCAACAUGGUGAAAUUCCAUCUCUACUAAAAAUAAAAAUUAGCCGGGCAUGGUGGAGGGCACCUGUAGUUCCAGCUGCCCAGGAGACUGAGGCAGGAGAAUUGCUUGAACCCAGGAGGCAGAGGUUGCAGUGAGCCAAGACUGCACCACUGCAUUCCAGCUUGGGCAGCAGAGCGAGACUCUAUCUAAAAAAAAAAUUUUUUUUAAUUAAAACAAGAUAUUUUAGAAAUUGAUGACACUGGGACCAAGUCUUAGGAGAAUUAAGAAGAUGGCAUAGCCAAAGAACUGUGCUCCGUGUCCUGAAUGCUUUUAUUGAAAUAUGAAAACAAGAACAAACAAAUUAAGUAUGGAAAGUAGGAGGCUGAGGAUAGCAAAGAGAAAAGUAGACGAUUAAACAAAACAAUGGUAGAGUUGAAUACAUUAAUCCAACAAUUGUUUCUUUGCAAAGACCAAUAAAAUAAGCAAUUCUAACGUGUAAAGAUGAUAAAGAAAAAACAAAUAUUUUAAACAUUUUAGACUUAGAAUAUAACAUAUAGGCAAGAGAAUAUAACAACAGUUAAGUAAACUGAGGCACAAUAAAAUUUUAAAGAGU